AAGAAGUGGAAGUGCGAGAAAUGUUCAAAGAAAUACGCAGUUCAAUCAGAUUGGAAAGCUCAUGGCAAGAUCUGUGGCACCAGAGAGUACAGAUGCGACUGUGGCACCCUCUUCUCCAGGAAGGAUAGCUUCAUCACCCACAGAGCCUUCUGUGAUGCUUUAGCAGAAGAAAGUGCGCGAUUCACUUCAGUUUCAGCAGCCAUUAAUGC
rnacentral:misc_RNA from 1 species